GGUUGUGUUUCUCUAUAAAAGUCUAGAUAGUCAAGUUUGUGGUUAAGACAUGCUUAGUUGCUGACCUAUGGCUUUUUCACUAUUAAGUAACCUUCUUGUCCUGCCUGACGUUUUUAACAUGGUCCCGAGGUUAGAUCUUAUUAAUUCAAAUAACUAUGGGGAGUCUGAAGUCUAUUUUUGUCACUCUCUCAUCCCCCUCCCAACAAAAAAAAGUUAUUUAUAUUCAAUAACUUGACAUGACUUUCUUGCUGCAGUAUGAAGUGUAUUUAUUGACAUCGAAGUGAGAAUAAUUUUUGCUUAAUUUCUUUCUUCUCACAUACCCCCUAUUUCGUCAGUUCAUGCUUCAAUAUAAUAUUAUAAUGUAGAGAGAGAUGGGAGCAGAAGAGGUUCGUACUGAGAUAUAUGGUAUAUUUGGUUACAAUGUGGUGACAAUGAUUUUAAUUUUGAUAAAUUCAAUGCUUAGUGACAUCUGACAUCUUGCUUUUGCAAUGAAUGGUUCCAUCUAUUUUUAAUCUUUUCGAGCUCAGACAACUAAGUUUUAUUUUGGAAACUUUUGAGCCUAGGAUCAAAAUGUAUUUACUUUUGACGUUUAAUAUGCAAAAGUAAUAUUAAUUAUUUGUUUAUGUUUCAGAUAGAAUCGUAAUAAGUUCAUACUAAUUUUUGUGAAUUACUUAGUCCUCAUUUUCUGAUAGCCGUAUGAGUGUAAUUAAGGGGGUAUGGUGUGGGAAUUGGAAAAACUUGUAAAUUACGAGCUUAUAUAUUCCGCAGGCAGUGUUUUGUUUCAAAUACAAAUACUUACAAGGACGGGUUUCACGUUCAUUCUUCCACAGUCACGUAAACACCGUAAACAAAACUAGUGGGCUUAUUAUGUAUCAAAAAUAAAGAUUUAGUUCCGGAUGAGCCUUGACCCAAAAUCAAUGUUUCUCACAGAGCCCAAACUUAAUACGAUUAUGUGAAUAUUCUUUAGCCCUAGGCUCCUGGAUAAUUGACUAUAUUUACUUGGCCCUGUAUUUUUUGCCUCAUUCACAAAUUUACGCUGAUGAAAUUAUUCAGUCAAGAGCAAUAGAGAAGCCGCCUACAAAUGAUUGUUGUUUUCAACUAUGACAAUGAAGGAACAAGUAAAAACGUAUGUUGUAUGUACAGUGGAAGAUGUUUAAAUUUAGCAUUCAAAAGAGCAGAGCAUUUAUUGACAUGUUUGUUUCUUUGUAAUGCCAAAUUUGGACUAUUUGUUCCAUAUGUUCUUUCUUGCUCGAUACUGCAAGCUUCUUGAGGAGAACUCUUUCAGGGGAAGGACUGCAGAUUUCUUUUACAUGAUUUUGUUGGAGCAACAUUUUUAACAGGCACUGCUCUUAUUGGGGGAAUGAUACCUUAUUUGUCAGAAUCAUUUGCAAACUUCAUAUUCCUUAGCAAUUCAUCGACACUCAUGAUGGUGUAUGUGUGGAGCAAACAAAAUCCUUUCAUCCAUAUGAGUUUUUUGGGUUUGUUUACAUUUACCGCAGCUUAUCUACCAUGGUUCAUGGGAAAAAAAUAUACACAGAUGCAGAGAUCGAUGAAGUUAGAGGAGAAUGGACGACGUACGUAUCAAACUUUUUUAAGUUAUUGAUUUUUCAUUGAUGUCAAAGCAUCAAUGAGGGAAAAAAUAUGUAUCAAACUUUUGUUGAAUGAUCUAGUUUGGGUUUGGGAUACA